UGCCGCUUGGCAUUUAUCAUAAUGUUGAAACUGUUUAUUUUAUGCUUCUGCUUUCUUCAAAUGGUUUCAACAAAAUUCUUAAUUAUUGAGACAGCAGAUACAGAGGAAACGACUAAAUAUGGAGACAAUUUACUAGCAACUGGAAAUGUAACGAAAGGAGACGAUUAUUUCUUACAUGAAUGGGAUCCUCCCUCCCCGUUUAAAUGAUUGGAAUGAUUUCAAAUCUUUCAAAUGAAUUUUAUGUGUUUGAAAUAAAUAACAAGCUAUAAUUUU